rnacentral:rRNA from 1 species
UACGGGGGGAGCAAGCGUUGUCCGGAUUUACUGGGUGUAAAGGGUGCGCAGGCGGACUGAUAAGUCAGGAGUGAAAUCUCGGCGCUUAACGCCGAAACGUCUUUUGAUACUGUUGGUCUUGAAUUAGAGAGAGAUUCGUGGAAUUCCGAGUGUAGCAGUGAAAUGUGUAGAUAUUCGGAAGAACACCAGUGGCGAAGGCAGCGAAUUGGCUCUAUAUUGACGCUCAGGCACGAAAGCAUGGGGAUCAAACAGG